ACACGACUACAUUAGAUACCCGCGUAGUCCUAGCCGUAAACGAUACUCGCUAGGUGUCGGCCACGGUGCGACCGUUGUCGGUGCCGUAGGGAAGCCGUGAAGCGAGCCACCUGGGAAGUACGGCCGCAAGGCUGAAACUUAAAGGAAUUGGCGGGGGAGCACCACAACGGGUGGAGCUUGCGGUUUAAUUGGAUUCAACGCCGGGAAGCUCACCGGAUAAGACAGCGGAAUGAUUGCCGGGCUGAAGACCCUGCAUGACCAGCUG
rnacentral:rRNA from 1 species